AGGGUUAUCAAAAAUGCAGAGGCAGCCGUGAAUCUGAUAAGGAACAUCAGAGCCACUCCCUCUCUGAGUUUACCCACAAUUUGCAAUUCAAGCCGGAGGAACGUGAGAAUACAAAUCCCUGUUUGAAUUUGCACACCAGAGGUAUUGAUAAGGCACAGAAAGGGGUGAAAGAUAUGUAAUGUGUUUGCUGUUAACGUGGUCUGCUUCCAAUGAAUUUCAAAGUCACUAUAGCAGGCACCAGAAAUAACUUCAUAUAUUUAGUUGGAAUCUCCUGUCUUGUAAUUUGAAUAUAUUGGUUUCUGUCCUCCUCUCUGGAGCAGCAGAAAACCAGCUUGCUUCAUCCUCCAUGUGGCAGUCCUUCAGCUAUCACAUCACCUGUCUUCUUUUCUCCAGGCUAAACAUGCCCAAUAAAAUUAGUUUGAGUUUCUUUAGUUUACCUACCAAUAAGACUUUCCCAGUAGUGAUGUAUGGAAGUGAGAGCUGGACCAUAAAGAAGGCUGAUCGCCGAAGAAUUGAUGGAGAACGAGAUGGUGGGACAGUGUUCUCGAAGCUACCAGCAUGAGUUUGACCAAGCUGCGGGAGGCAGUGGAAGACAGGAGUGCCUGGCGUGCU